UACUGUUCUGGCCCUCACACAAACUUAUCAUUGGUGUAUUAUUUCUGUGGUUUCUUGUUACUGUUUCCACUCUUUCAUCUUACUCUAUUUCUUCUUCAUAUUAAAUUACUAAAUCUAACAGCACUUUUACUAAAUUUCUAACUCUA